GUAUCCUGCUGGACUAUAUGCCCUUUAAAGCAAGUAGAGCACAUUACUCAUCACUCAAUCUCCAGGACCAAGUUAAUGUUCUGUAUAUAGUAAUGUCGACAGCAACAUCUCCCCCAGGUGUAACAACUAAACGUGUCUCCAGACAUUGGCAAAUAUCCUUGGGCCAUGGAGAAAACAUCACCUUCAAUUGAAAACCACUGGGCCACUCUAAUGCCUUCAAGGAAGCCAAGAGUCUCAGGCCCUUCGCCCUUGCUUCUCAGAAAAGAACAGCUAACCAUUGCCAACCAGAAUGCAUAGAAACUGAACUACUUCUGUGUCUGCAAUUGUCAUCUUGGACAAAUUACCUAAACUGCUUGGGCUGAGAUAUGUGAAUUCAGAUAUUGAAGCUUAUUUAUACCUUCAUAAUUCUAUGCUUCCAUAAUGAUUAAAUCCACCAUAGUAAUAAAUAAAGGCCUUAACCACAUGAAGAAA
rnacentral:lncRNA from 1 species